ACAGAGAACAGACAAAUUUAAGGGAAGCUCAGGCAAGGUGUGAUAUAGAAGCCAAACAGAAGUUCAUGCAAUGGUGGACAGUACUAGUGACUAGAGAGGUCUGUAACCAAGCUGCAUGCUCACUUUUGCAGUGUCUGGUGUUGGCUCCCUGUCACUCAGAUGGUGAAUGCUCUUUCCCACCGUGAUGAAAUCACCGUAAAGGUCAAAGGCCAGGAGGUCUUUGGCGUAUCGGCACCACAUCUUGGCGUACUGCAGCGCCGUCUCCACUCCAUCCUCGCAGCGACAGAGGGCCAGG